rnacentral:tRNA from 1 species
GCCUGGGUGGCUCAGUUAAGUGUCUGACUUCGGCUCAGGUCGUGAUUUCAUGUCUUGUGGGUUUGAACCCCACACUAGGCU